CUCCGCUCAGCACCACCACCACUUCUGGCAACUGCCUUUGUCGCCUCUCCAAUUGCCAUGGUCACCGUCGGUAAUUAGAGAGUUUUCAGACCAACUAUCAUCUCGCACGCUCCCAGCCCCACCUCUUCUUCAGAUGAGAUAUCUUCUCCUGCCAAAUAGGGGCAGGGUGCGCCCUGCUUUUCUUGAUUUGCUUGUAAGAUGCUGCAGCCACCGUAGUAGAAGACUAGCUCGCUUAGUUACAGCGUUUCGAUCAGGCACCUGUGGGACGCCUUGACCGAGGAAGGACCUGAAACCCACUCCGUCCGAGCCAGCGGAGGGGUCUGAGAUAAAGAAACUGAAGCAGACUAAGGAAAGUGGCUGUCAGGACUAUUCCAUUGCAGAUCGGAAAGGACAGGCUUGAGGUUUCUCUUUGAACUAGACAGCUGAAACAUCGUACUUCUAGGAACCCCUUCUGAUCAGCAUCCAUGUGGUUCAGAGGGAUAUACAUGUCAUCUGUGUUCUGGCAAACAAUCAUCGCAUGCCUCUGGCUAAAGGUUCCACGGCCAACAUCUUGACCACUCAGACGGACGUUAAAACCUUGAGCAAGAAAAGAAAAGACAAACAAGAUCAGAUGUCUGUGAACACUGUUCUUGCUGAUAAAGAAUUAUGACCGUAAAAUAAACUUGUUAGCAGAUGAA